rnacentral:lncRNA from 1 species
AUGGGCCUGUAAGAACUAUGAUGGGGAUGUACAGAGUGAUUUCCUCGCACAAGGUAUCUAAUAAUGUGUUUGCGUUAAGGCUGCCAUUUCAACAGAUCCUCAUAAAAUAUGUUAUGACAUAUUAACAUGCUAAUACACAAAAUUGCUGAAUCAAGUAUGCUUGUUUCCCCUCCUAUAACUCUGCUCCUAGAGGUUUAUAAUUUUUAUGCCUUUUUUCUUGGAACAGGUUUUGGAUCCCUUGGGUUGAUGACAUCUGUCCUGGUAUGUCUAUUUUCUAUCAUUUUAUUUUGCUUCAACCAACUCCUUAAUUGUGCAGUUUUAGGUUAUUUUAUUUCUAUAGCUUUCUUGGUAUCUAUUACAAUGCAUGGCUCUUUGGAUCAUUUAUUCGUUAUUGCUAUUUGCUGAUAUGAAUCGUUGGUUCGGAUUCUGACAAGUUGUGGAUAUAUGGUUCAGGUGUGUCCUGAUGGAAAGACCAUUGAGGCUGAAGCAGCCCAUGGAACUGUCACCCGCCACUACAGGGUUCACCAGAAAGGAGGUGAAACCAGCACAAAUAGUAUUGCGUCAAUCUUUGCCUGGACUCGUGGACUUGCACACAGGUAGGUGACUAUAGUUCUUGAUCUGCUGAGCUUUAGAGUGCGGUUUGCUGUUUGGACUGGUUUAAGGAAAUUUUGGUGGAUUGCCCCCAAAUGAUGGGAUUAUGAAUACUGAAUAAGUUGUUUGUGAACAGGGCAACGUUAGACAAGAAUGAAAGGCUGUUGGAUUUUACUGAGAAACUAGAGGCAGCAUGCAUUGGUGCAGUGGAAUCUGGAAAGAUGACCAAAGAUCUUGCACUCAUCAUCCAUGGAUCC